rnacentral:rRNA from 1 species
UAGGGAAUCUUCGGCAAUGGACGAAAGUCUGACCGAGCAACGCCGCGUGAGUGAAGAAGGUUUUCGAAUCGUAAAACUCUGUUGGUAGAGAAGAACGUUGGUGAGAGUGGAAAGCUCAUCAAGUGACGGUAACUACCCAGAAAGGGACGGCUAACUACGUGACAG